rnacentral:rRNA from 1 species
GACAGAGGUGGCAAGCGUUGUUCGGAUUCAUUGGGUGUAAAGGGUCCGUAGGUGGCCCGGUAAGUCCGGCGUGAAAUCCCAGAGCUCAACUCUGGAACUGCGUCGGAAACUAUCGGGCUUGAGUGCCGGAGAGGUUAGGGGAAUUCCAGGUGUAAGGGUGAAAUCUGUAGAUAUCUGGAGGAACACCAGUGGCGAAGGCGCCUAACUGGCCGGUUACUGACACUGAGGGACGAAAGCAAGGGGAGCAAACAGG